UCCUACGGGAGGCAGCAGUGGGGAAUAUUGGACAAUGGGGGCAACCCUGAUCCAGCCAUGCCGCGUGAGUGAAGAAGGCCUUCGGGUUGUAAAGCUCUUUCAGAUGYYCGAAGAUGAUGACGGUAACAUCAGAAGAAGCCCCGGCUAAUUUCGUGCCAGCAGCCGCGGUAAU
rnacentral:rRNA from 1 species